rnacentral:rRNA from 1 species
GGCGGCGUGCUUAACACAUGCAAGUCGAGCGGUAAGGCCCUUCGGGGUACACGAGCGGCGAACGGGUGAGUAACACGUGGGUGAUCUGCCUUGCACUCUGGGAUAAGCCUGGGAAACUGGGUCUAAUACCGGAUAUGACCAUUGGUUGCAUGAUCGGUGGUGGAAAGAUUUAUCGGUGCGAGAUGNGCCCGCGGCCUAUCAGCUUGUUGGUGGGGUAAUGGCCUACCAAGGCGACGACGGGUAGCCGGCCUGAGAGGGCGACCGGCCACACUGGGACUGAGACACGGCCCAGACUCCUACGGGAGGCAGCAGUGGGGAAUAUUGCACAAUGGGCGGAAGCCUGAUGCAGCGACGCCGCGUGAGGGAUGACGGCCUUCGGGUUGUAAACCUCUUUCGACAGGGACGAAGCGCAAGUGACGGUACCUGUAGAAGAAGCACCGGCCAACUACGUGCCAGCAGCCGCGGUAAUACGUAGGGUGCGAGCGUUGUCCGGAAUUACUGGGCGUAAAGAGCUUGUAGGCGGUUCGUCGCGUCGAUCGUGAAAACAUACAGCUCAACUGUGUGCUUGCGGUCGAUACGGGCGGACUAGAGUACUGCAGGGGAGACUGGAAUUCCUGGUGUAGCGGUGAAAUGCGACGAUAUCAGGAGGAACACCGGUGGCGAAGGCGGGUCUCUGGGCAGUAACUGACGCUGAGAAGCGAAAGCGUGGGUAGCGAACAGGAUUAGAUACCCUGGUAGUCCACGCCGUAAACGGUGGGCGCUAGGUGUGGGUUUCCUUCCACGGGAUCCGUGCCGUAGCUAACGCAUUAAGCGNCCCGCCUGGGGAGUACGGCCGC